rnacentral:sRNA from 1 species
CGUUAUUGAUUGGUGCUGAUGCGUAAUUCCAGCCUGGUUCUUCCCCCGGUGCGUCCAAACAUCGCUGGCGUCUUCUCCCAUGCCAGCCGAUAGCGCACCCUCUUGCCUCGCUCGUCCUUGAGAAGAGCGGGGCUUUUU